rnacentral:rRNA from 1 species
AUACGUAGGGGGCGAGCGUUGUCCGGAAUGAUUGGGCGUAAAGGGCGCGUAGGCGGCGCGGUAAGUCUGGAGUGAAAGUCCUGCUUUCAAGGGGGGAAUUGCUUUGGAUACUGCCGCGCUUGAGUGCAGGAGAGGUUAUCGGAAUUCCCGGUGUAGCGGUGAAAUGCGUAGAGAUCGGGAGGAACACCAGUGGCGAAGGCGGGUAACUGGACUACAACUGACGCUGAGGCGCGAAAGUGUGGGAGCAAACAGGAUUAGAUACCCUGGUAGUCCACACUGUAAACGAUGAAUGCUAGGUGUAGGGGGUAUCGACCCCUUCUGUGCCGCAGUCAACACAAUAAGCAUUCCGCCUGGGGAGUACGGCCGCAAGGUUGAAACUUAAAGGAAUUGACGGGG